rnacentral:rRNA from 1 species
GAUGAACGCUAGCGGGAGGCCUAACACAUGCAAGCCGAGCGGUAUUGUUUCUUCGGAAAUGAGAGAGCGGCGUACGGGUGCGUAACACGUGUGCAACCUGCCUUUAUCUGGGGGAUAGCCUUUCGAAAGGAAGAUUAAUACUCCAUAAUAUAUUGAACGGCAUCGUUUAAUAUUGAAAGCUCCGGCGGAUAGAGAUGGGCACGCGCAAGAUUAGCUAGUUGGUGAGGUAACGGCUCACCAAGGCGAUGAUCUUUAGGGGGCCUGAGAGGGUGAUCCCCCACACUGUUACUGAGACACGGACCAGACUCCUACGGGAGGCAGCAGUGAGGAAUAUUGGUCAAUGGGUGCAAGCCUGAACCAGCCAUCCCGCGUGAAGGACGACUGCCCUAUGGGUUGUAAACUUCUUUUGUAUAGGGAUAAACCUACCCUCGUGAGGGUAGCUGAAGGUACUAUACGAAUAAGCACCAGCUAACUCCGUGCCAGCAGCCGCCGUAACAC